CCACACCUAAAAAACUUUCCACGUGAACCGUUUCAACCCAAUAGUUGGGGGUCUUAUUUGGCGGCGGCUGCUGGCUUAAUUGUUGGCGGCUGCUGCUGAGUGAGCCCUAUCAAAAAAAAAGGGAAACGUUUGGGCUUCGGCCUGAUUUAGUAGUCUUUUUUCUUUUAAACCCAUUCCUUAAUACUGAAUAUACUGUGGGGACGAAAGUCUCUGCUUUUAACUAGAUAGCAACUUUCAGCAGUGGAUGUCUAGGCUCGCACAUCGAUGAAGAACGCUGCGAACUGCGAUACGUAAUGCGAAUUGCAGGAUUCAGUGAGUCAUCGAAAUUUUGAACGCAUAUUGCACUUCCGGGUUAGUCCUGGAAGUAUGCCUGUAUCAGUGUCCGUACAUUAAACUUGACUUUCUUCCUUCCGUGUAGUCGGUGGAGGAGAUGUCAGAUGUGAAGUGUCUUGCGAUUGGUCUUCGGACCGGCUGCGAGUCCUUUUAAAUGUACUAAACUGAACUUCUCUUUGCUCGAAAAGUGGUGGCGUUGCUGGUUGUGAAGGCUGCUAUUGUGGCAAAUUGGCGACUGGUUUGUCUGCUGCGGCAUUAAUGGAAGAGUGUUCGAUUCGUGGUAUGGUUGGCUUCGGCUGAACAAUGCACUUAUUGGACGUUUUUCCUGCUGUGGCGUGAUGGACUGGUGAACCAUAGCUCGGUGGCUUGGCUUUUGAAUUGGCUUUGCUGUUGCGAAGUAGGGUGGCAGCUUCGGUUGUCGAGGGUCGAUCCAUUUGGGAACUUAAUGUGUACUUCGGUAUGCAUCUCAA
rnacentral:rRNA from 1 species